rnacentral:rRNA from 1 species
UACGGGGGGGGCAAGCGUUGUUCGGAAUUACUGGGCGUAAAGGGCGCGUAGGCGGGUGGACAAGUCUCUCGUGAAAACCCACGGCUCAACCGUGGAAUUGCGGGAGAUACUGUCUGUCUUGAGUCCGGGAGAGGAGGGUGGAAUUCCCAGUGUGGCGGUGAAAUGGGUAGAUAUUGGGAGGAACACCGGUGGCGAAGGCGGCUCUCUGGCCCGGUACUGACGCUGAGGCGCGAAAGCUAGGGGAGCACGCGGU